AGAGUGAACGCUGGCGGCAGGCCUAACACAUGCAAGUCGAGCGGCAGCGCAGCGGUAGCAAUACUGUGGGCGGCGAGCGGCGGACGGGUGAGGAACACAUCGGAAUCUACCCUGUCGUGGGGGACAACGUAGGGAAACUUACGCUAAUACCGCAUACGACCUUUGGGUGAAAGCGGGGGACUCGCAAGAGCCUCGCGCGAUUGGAUGAGCCGAUGUCCGAUUAGCUAGUUGGCGGGGUAAUGGCCCACCAAGGCGACGAUCGGUAGCUGGUCUGAGAGGACGACCAGCCACACUGGAACUGAGACACGGUCCAGACUCCUACGGGAGGCAGCAGUGGGGAAUAUUGGACAAUGGGGGCAACCCUGAUCCAGCCAUGCCGCGUGGGUGAAGAAGGCCUUCGGGUUGUAAGCACUGUCGGAGGGAGAAUGAAUGACGGUACCCUCCAAGAACGCCCCGGCUAACUACGUGCCAGCAGCCGC
rnacentral:rRNA from 1 species